UGCCAGACCCUCGCAGCAAGCUGACCUACUGAUUGGAGCAUCUGCCCCCUGGUGGUUAGUGCAUAUCAGUCAUAGUGACUGGUCAACCAGUUGACUGUCUGUCCCCUCGUAGUCUUGCAUGUCAUAGCGGGCAGUUGAGCAGCCUUUGCAGAUCAUUAGCAUAUUAUGCUUUGAUUGGUUGCAUGGCCAUGACUGGACGACUGGACUCUUAGCAUAUUAGGCUAUUAUUCUAU